GCGUCAGUACUCAAGUGGUCGACGAGGCUGGUCUCCAAAACCAGUAGUGAAAGCUCACGUAGGUUCGAAUCCUGCCUGGCGUGCA
rnacentral:tRNA from 1 species